rnacentral:lncRNA from 10 species
CUGGAGCCUCAAGAACCAGGCUUCAGCCACUGCUCUACAGCUCUGGAGUGAAUAUAGCUUCACUCUUGUUGUACAGGAAUGAAGGGGAAAUAAAGACCCUCUCAGAUGAAGAAACACUAAGAGAAUUUGUCACCAGUAGACCAUUCCUAAAGGAAGUCCCUGAAACAGAAAGGAAGUGAUUAAAGAAAGAAUCUUGGAACAUCAAAAAGAAAUAACAGGAAGAACAGAAAUAUGGGUGUGCUAGCACUCAAUGCUAAAGAUGGCACCCAGUUCAAGGUCAGCAAAUGGAAGGCAUCCUCGCCCACAACUCUUCAGUGGACAUGGCUUCUCUAUCAGAGAGCGCUUUUCAGCUAAGUCCAGAUGCAGGCCUGAAGUCUUCUCUGCCCAUCCCUCCAGAAGGCCACUGUGAUAACCUGAAUUGGGAAGGAAAGAGAAGCCCCGUUGCCUUCCAAGAUCACCUUCUUCUUUUUUUUUCCUCCAGGCAGAUUUUCAGGCUAAUUUUCCCAGGGGGAAAAAAAUUAGUAUCUCUCCUGUUUGAAAGCAUUCUGAGAUGAAAAUGAAAUAGAAAUUGAAGAUUGUUUCCAUUCUUAAGGGUUUUGGUCAAUCGUUUUUAGAAAUUUCUUCCUGGGAUUUAUAUUAUUUUCCUCCCACUUUACCUCUCCUGUGUCCAUUUUGGAGAAAAGCACCUCGUUUAUCUUUGGGAGACAGUAACGCAGAAACUGUAACUGAGCCGAUUUCCCCUUGAGGAUCAAAAUAUUUGUGUUAAAUGAAAUGAGAAAUCUGCUAAGUGGCGGCAUGCAUCCCCCAGGGAAGGAUAUUUUGUAAUUUUGAAAAAUUCCUACUGAAAUUCUUCUCUUGCCAAGAAAAGAGGAAUGAUUUCUGUUAAAAUUACUUCAUGUCUGAAUUACUCUCUGCCCCUCGGGAACAUAUAACAUUACAGCUUUUAUGCUCAGUAAUUUAGAAGGACGGGGGGACACCUUAUUUGGAAAGCAUGCAGACUUAACACGAAAUGUUGGGUAUUAAGUAGUUUCACCACAAAAGUCUCGUUUUGAAAAUUUUGCACUUAAACAGUUCAAAUUAAAGUUCGUUUUUAGAACUGGUUUUUAUGAUUGUCUGUAUAAGUCCUUUUAACUUUCUACUCUUAUCUCACCAUUCCCUGAAGCUGCAGAGAAAAUCCUUUGAUUGGUGUUCAAGAGUUGUACCUUUUAUAGAAAACAGGAUAGAUGGCAUCACUUUAAUAAGGCAGGUGCAUGCUUUGAAGCCAGUCAAAUAAGUUAAUUUUAUUAAAAUAUAUGUAUCUGCUUCUGUGUAUGUUAUAGUACAGGCUUUGGAAAGGCACGAGAGAUAGAAAAUAGGUUUAAACUCACAGGCCAACUCUGAUCAAGUAUUAUGGAUCCCACUGGCACUGUGUUGGGAAAGAUUCUGAGGCCAAAUUCAGGUUCAGGGGGAAAAAAAGUGAAAGAUGAGUAUUCUUCUUUGAUUACAGGUGGCCAAUUUUAAGCACAAGCACCAAACACAGAUGUCAUCACUGACACGUAUUAAAUAUCAAGAGAAGUGCCUUCUGGCUUGUGUAAUUGAAGUAGUUUUCUGUGUUUUCUAAUUUUCUGCAGUAAAUAUGUAUUGUUUCUGUGAUGAGAUUAAAGCUAUUUUUUAUUCUUUUUAAACUGGAAAAAUUGUU